rnacentral:misc_RNA from 1 species
CUUUAGUUAAAAUCCUCGAAUACCAGCCCCUAUCGUGACUGGCCAGUUGGGAGCGUGCGCUACAUCAUUGUCCCAAUGGACAAAACAUAAAAGAAACGCUAGUAAAGGGCAAAAUGGGCCCAAAAGAGAGACACUCCGUCGCUGCCUUCGUCUACUACGCUGGGCCGAGCUUCUCUCUCUCUUGCUUUCCGAUGAAAACAGACUAAAUUGUAUAUAUGUACUUGUCCACGACUUUGAACUACUUGACAACCAUGGUAACUGUUAAGGACCCUCACUGACUGGGCCCUCUCAACACCCUGCCCUUCUUCUUCUUCUUCUCCUAUCAUCAACCAUUUUCUCACCAACCCACCUUCUUUUCUUAUUGUGGUUGUUGGGAUUUCAACUCUCUCUUUUUCUUUUCUUUUUUGUUUUCUCCCUUUGAUUUCUUCAUUAGUUUUUGUUGGGUUUUCAAGUUUUAUGGAUUUAAUUUUGGGUUUUAUUUCUACGGCUCUAAUAGCCUGAAGCUUGUGAUUGGACCUGGCGCGUAGGAAUCUUGAAGAUCCAAGCAUUUUCCUGUCCGGAAUUGAUUUUUCUGAUGGAUGCAGAUUCAGAAAGAACUUCACAAGAUGUGCCCCUCUUUGCUGCACGUGGCCAUGCAGAUGGUGGUUUAGUGAUUGAUCAUUCUAUCCACCAAGUAGCAUGUGUGCUGUGCAGAAGAAUUUUUGCACCUGACAAUGAUGAUCUUGAGACUGUCAGUAUAUGCGGGGACUGUAAAUUUUUGCUUCUCGAAGAUGUAGGGGACUCCACUCAGGAUUCUUUUAGGAGGAGGCCACACAGAGGAAGAAGAACUAGUUACAGCAGUUCUGAGUCAAUUGAAAAUCUUUUUUCACAACAGUUAUCACAUAUGAUUAAUUUGGCUAGGCAAAACCAGUCCAUUGUAUCUGGUCUUGACAAUCCAUCUGUAGAUGGAGAUGUUUCUGUUAGGCUGUUGUGGCACACAAGCUCCCAUACAACCCCAACCAGUUCUAUAAGAUGGCGGCGGGUUCUCUCAGAUACUGGAAGUGAGCGUCUUGAUAAUUGGGAUUCUCUUUAUAGCGAGAAUGAAACAACUCCCAGUGUCAAUUGGUCCAGGGUUUAUCUUGGUGAGAGUGAUGCCUUUUCUUUUAGCGCAUAUGGAGGGGACUCUGAUGUAGAUGUUGAUGGACAUAGUUUUGUGGAUAUUAUUGAACCAGAUGAGGGAAGCAAUUUUGACAGUGAUACUGACAUUGAUCCAAUGCAUGCUGGUCUCAACCAAUGGAACUCAGAUGACGAGGAAGAGGAAGAAGA